rnacentral:rRNA from 1 species
GAUGAACGCUAGCGGCAGGCUUAAUACAUGCAAGUCGAGGGGCAUCAAGGUACACGAAAGUGUAUUGUUGGCGACCGGCGGACGGGUGAGUAAUAGGUAGGUAACCUACCUCAUACUGAGGCAUAGCUGGGAGAAAUUCCAGGUAAUUCCUCAUGAGGUUAUAUGACACAUGUGAUAUAAUCAAAGGUAUACGCAAGGUACUGGUAUGAGAUGGGCUUACUGACCAUUAGCUAGUUGGUGAGAUAAGAGCUCACCAAGGCGAAGAUGGUUAGGGGUUUUGAGAGAGAGAUCCCCCACAUUGGAACUGAGAUACGGUCCAGACUCCUACGGGAGGCAGCAGUAGGGAAUAUUGGGCAAUGGGCGGAAGCCUGACCCAGCCAUGCCGCGUGAAGGAAGACGGCCUUAUGGGUUGUAAACUUCUUUACUAUGCGACUAACUAGAUUUACGAGAUAAUUCUAUAGAAUGUAGCAUAGCAAAAAGCACCGG